UCAGGGUGGACACGGUCCGGGCCGGUCCGGUCCCUGACCGAGCCUCCCUUUGGACCGGCCGAAACUGGCCCGGACCGGACCGGACCGAGCUUACAUGCGGUCCUGUUUCACAGGACCGGACCGGCUGCACCUCAGCUCGGUGCGGACCGAGGGGACCGACUGGACCGUGUACAGUUUGUGUGUGGGAGUGCACUGGGAGCCUUUUUAGUACUCAUUUGACAGCAAAUUCGAACAUAUAGAUUAUUAGGUUGCAAAAGAGGUUCAAAUGGAAGAAAAAUAAGCAAGGUUGCAAGAAAAACAGCACAGGACGGUGUCUAACUGAAGAAAGUUCAGAGGGAGUGAACAAAUACCAACUGAAACUGAAGAAAGUUCAGAGGGAGUGAACAAUUACCAACUGAAGAAAUUUCAGAGAGAAGAAACAAUUACAAAUUGACAGCCACGACAUGCGGGACUUCAGGUGCACGUGCAGCAGCUCCAUCCCCCGCGUCCUCCAGCUCCGUCCCCGCGUCCUCCAGCUUUGUGCUCGACGGCGGCUAACCGGUGAGGAGGUGGUCGAAGACGGGCAGGUAGAGACGGCGACGGUCGACGACGGCGAGCAGGUGCAGCCGUGCAGACACGAAGCUCCCUCCUUGGCUCCUCCACUCCUCCUUUCACCGCGUGCAGGUGCAGACAAGGAGGUGGUGGUCGACGUUGGCAACGGCGGCCGGUGGAGGCGGCGCUCCCAGCCAGGAGGAAAGGGGAUCGGCGAAUUGGGGGAGCGAGGGCCUCUGCCCUAGCAUCUUAUCGACUCGCUAUCCCUGCACUGGACUACUGGGCUAUGCGCCUGGGCCAAAUGUCGCGGUCCGACCGAGCCAGCUCGGAUAAAAACAGGACCGGACCGACUUGUUUUCGGGCCUGUUUCUGUAGACCGGACCGGCCAUUUUUAUCAGCGGGCCAGGACCGAACGGUCCGGUCCUUAGCGGGCCGCGAGCCGGGCCGAAAGCUCGCUCGCCACGUCCAGGCUGA
rnacentral:rRNA from 1 species